rnacentral:rRNA from 1 species
AAUUCAGCGAAUCAUCGAAUCUUUGAACGCAAAUGGCGCUCUUGGGUUCUCCCAGGAGCAUGUCUGUCUGAGUGUCGGUC